GGUUGUCGUCAGCUCGUGUCGUGAGAUGUUGGUUAAGUCCCGCAACGAGCGCAACCCUUGUCUUCAGUUACCAUCAUUCAGUUGGGGACUCUGGAGAGACUGCCGGUGACAAACCGGAGGAAGGUGGGGAUGACGUCAAAUCAUCAUGCCCCUUAUGACCUGGGCUACACACGUACUACAAUGGCGUAUACAACGGGAAGCGAAAUGGUGACAUGGAGCAAAUCUCACAAAGUACGUCUCAGUUCGGAUUGAAGUCUGCAACUCGACUUCAUGAAGUCGGAAUCGCUAGUAAUCGCGGAUCAGCAUGCCGCGGUGAAUACGUUCUCGGGCCUU
rnacentral:rRNA from 1 species